rnacentral:rRNA from 1 species
CAAUAGCGUAUAUUAAAGUUGUUGCAGUUAAAAAGCUCGUAGUUGAAUUUCUGGCGGGCGCGCCGGUCUUCCAAGUGUUGUACUGGGCGCAGUCCGCCAUCCUUGUGGAGAGGGCUCGCAUUGAGUUGCGUGUCGGAUCUGCAUCAUUUACUGUGAAAAAAUUAGAGUGUUUAAAGCAGGCUGUCGCUUGAAUACAUUAGCAUGGAAUAAUAAGAUAGGACUUCGGUCUAUUUUGUUGGUUGCGAACCGAGGUAAUGAUUAAUAGGGAUAGUUGGGGGUAUUCAUAUUUAAUUGUCAGAGGUGAAAUUCUUGGAUUUAUGAAAGAUGAACAACUGCGAAAGCAUUUACCAAGGAUGCUUUCAUUAA